AACGAACGCUGGCGGCAUGCCUAACACAUGCAAGUCGAACGAGGGUCUCGCUUCGGUGGGGCGCUCGUGGCGCACGGGUGAGUAACGCGUGGGAACCUGCCCUGUGGUACGGCAUAAAUCCGGGAAACUGGAGGCAAUACCGGCUGCGUCCUGCGGGACCACGAUUUAUCGCCAUGGGAUGGGCCCGCGUAGGAUUAGCAUGUUGGUGGGGUAACGGCCUACCAAGGCAACGAUCCUUAGCUGGUCUGAGAGGAUGAGCAGCCACACUGGGACUGAGACACGGCCCAGACUCCUACGGGAGGCAGCAGUGGGGAAUAUUGGACAAUGGGCGCAAGCCUGAUCCAGCAAUGCCGCGUGAGUGAUGAAGGCCUUCGGGUUGUAAAGCUCUUUCGCACGCGACGAUGAUGACGGUAGCGUGAGAAGAAGCCCCGGCUAACUUCGUGCCAUCAGCCGCCGUAAUAC
rnacentral:rRNA from 1 species